ACUCACUACACUGCAGAGGAAGAUGAAGGUGGCGGUGCUCAGCGUGGUCCUGCUCUUCACCAUCCUGCUGUGCACCCCAGCAGAUGCUCAGGGAAUCCUGGAAGCAAGUGGAAGUUCUAGCAUGAAUGUGGGAAACAACAUUGGUCGAGUGAAGAGGCCUAAGCUCCCUACGGUUGAGCAGCUGGAGGAGCUUCUGCGCCAAAAACGCCUGGCUGUAUCUCUCGAUGGGUGACACCCUUGUCCUCGUCCUGUCCCCCUCCAGUGGCAAGAGGAGAUGAUCAUCCCUGGAUGACCCCACCCAGUACCCUGGGAGCCCUGGGCCCUUUCUCCCUCACGAUCAAUAAAUCCCUU